rnacentral:rRNA from 1 species
AUUGAACGCUGGCGGCAUGCCUUACACAUGCAUGUCGAACGGCAGCACGGGAGCUUGCUCCUGGUGGCGAGUGGCGAACGGGUGAGUAAUACAUCGGAACGUACCCUGAAGUGGGGGAUAACGUAGCGAAAGUUACGCUAAUACCGCAUAUUCUGUGAGCAGGAAAGAGGGGGAUCGCAAGACCUCUUGCUUUAGGAGCGGCCGAUGUCGGAUUAGCUAGUUGGUGAGGUAAAGGCUCACCAAGGCGACGAUCUGUAGCGGGUCUGAGAGGAUGAUCCGCCACACUGGAACUGAGACACGGUCCAGACUCCUACGGGAGGCAGCAGUGGGGAAUUUUGGACAAUGGGGGGCAACCCUGAUCCAGCCAUGCCGCGUGAGUGAAGAAGGCCUUCGGUGUAAGCUCUUCGUCCGGAGAAAGUACGCAUGGGUUAAUACCCUGUGUGGAUGACGGUACCGGCGAUAAGAAGCACCGGCUAACUACGUAGCCAGCAGCCGACGG